rnacentral:tRNA from 1 species
AUUUAAGAAGUUUUAAACAUUUCAUUUUCGUUGGAAAAAAAGGAUUUAAAUAUCCUCUUAAAUA